rnacentral:rRNA from 1 species
UACGUAGGGGGCAAGCGUUGUCCGGAAUCAUUGGGCGUAAAGCGCGUGUAGGCGGCUCGGUAAGUCCGCUGUGAAAGUCCAGGGCUCAACCCUGGGAUGCCGGUCGAUACUGCCGGACUAGAGUUCGGAAGAGGCGAGUGGAAUUCCCGGUGUAGCGGUGAAAUGCGCAGAUAUCGGGAGGAACACCUAUGGCGAAGGCAGCUCGCUGGGACGUUACUGACGCUGAGACGCGAAAGCGUGGGGAGCAAACAGG